GACGGUACUUGAUGAAUAAGCCACGGCUAAUUCCGUGCCAGCAGCCGCGGUAAUACGGGAGUGGCAAGCGUUAUCCGGAAUUAUUGGGCGUAAAGCGUCCGCAGGCGGCCCUUCAAGUCUGCUGUUAAAAAGUGGAGCUUAACUCCAUCAUUGGCAGUGAAACUGUUGGGCUUGAGUGUGGUAGGGGCAGAGGGAAUUCCCGGGUGUAGCGGUGAAAUGCGUAGAUAUCGGGAAGAACACCAGUGGCGAAGGCGCUCUGCUGGGCCAUCACUGACGCUCAUGGACGAAAGCCAGGGGAGCGAAAGGGAUUAGAUACCCCUGUAGUCCUGGCCGUAAACGAUGAACACUAGGUGUCGGGGGAAUCGACCCCCUCGGUGUCGUAGCCAACGCGUUAAGUGUUCCGCCUGGGGAGUACGCACGCAAGUGUGAAACUCAAAGGAAUUGACGGGGGCCCGCACAAGCGGUGGAGUAUGUGGUUUAAUUCGAUGCAACGCGAAGAACCUUACCAGGGUUUGACAUCCUGCGAAUCUCUUGGAAACGAGAGAGUGCCUUCGGGAGCGCAGUGACAGGUGGUGCAUGGCUGUCGUCAGCUCGUGUCGUGAGAUGUUGGGUUAAGUCCCGCAACGAGCGCAACCCACGUCUUUAGUUGCCAGCAUUUAGUUGGGCACUCUAGAGAGACCGCCGGUGAUAAACCGGAGGAAGGUGUGGAUGACGUCAAGUCAUCAUGCCCCUUACAUCCUGGGCUACACACGUACUACAAUGCUACGGACAAAGGGCAGCAAGUUCGCGAGGACAAGCAAAUCCCAUAAACCGUGGCUCAGUUCAGAUCGUAGGCUGCAACUCGCCUACGUGAAGGAGGAAUCGCUAGUAAUCGCAGGUCAGCAUACUGCGGUGAAUACGUUCCCGGGCCUUGUACACACCGCCCGUCACACCAUGGAAGUUGGCCACGCCCGAAGCCGUUACUCCAACCCUCGGGAGGAGGACGUCGAAGGUGGGGCUGAUGACUGGGGUG
rnacentral:rRNA from 1 species